rnacentral:misc_RNA from 1 species
GAUGAAGAACGUAGUGAAAUGCGAUAAGUAAUGUGAAUUGCAGAAUUCAGUGAAUCAUCGAAUCUUUGAACGCACAUUGCGCCCGUCAGUAUUCUGGCGGGCAUGCCUGUUCGAGCGUCAUUACGCCCCUCAAGUCCCCUGUGGACUUGGUGUUGGGGAUCGGCGAGGCUGGUUUUCCAGCACAGCCGUCCCUUAAAUUAAUUGGCGGUCUCGCCGUGGCCCUCCUCUGCGCAGUAGUAAAACACUCGCAACAGGAGCCCGGCGCGGUCCACCGCCGUAAAACCCCCCAACUUUUUAUAGUUGACCUCGAAUCAGGUAGGACUACCCGCUGAACUUAAGCAUAUCAAUAAGCGGAGGA